ensembl:lncRNA
GGAGAUGAUGAUAAAUGUAUUGUGUGUCUCACAGUGAAAGGGGCCAGAAGAGUAAAACCACCUACAAGAGCAAAAAGAUUUCUGACUCUUCCUCCUAAUCCUGAACAGCUGGGCUUCCCCACCUUGGUCCUGGCCCAGCCGGGGAGAUGCUAUGAGGGGAUGGAUACGAGGGGAAGAGGGAGACACAGGCUCCCAGAGACAGGCUUCCUGGACACUCAGGAAGUAAUGACUCUGACCCUUCAUGAUCUAGUUCUACAUAGAAAUUUGAGAAAAUGCCUUGAAAACGGACAAAUUUGUAAAAUCAGUUACUACACUGUUAUGAUUUAGAUCAGUACCCCCCAUCUCAUGUGUUUGGAAGGUGACUGGAUCGCAGAGGCACUUCUACUUCUCAGUAGAUUCAUCCAUGGGUGAGUGUGAGGCGGGAUGUGCUUUGAGAAGGUGGCCCUGUUGGCAGCGUGUCACUGGGGUGUGACCUGAAAGUGUGCAUCUCACCUCCCAGCUCCUCCUUUCUUCCUGCUUCCUGGCUUCCAUGAAGGUGGGCAGCUUCUUUCCUGGGCCAUGCCUUUCACUAUGCCUUUUAAGAAUUGGAGCCAGAGACCAUGGACUGAACCCACUGAAAGCCAUGACUCUACAUAAACCCCUCCUUUAUGUUUUGAGUGUAGGGUAUUUUGUCCCAGCUAUAGGAAAAUGACUAAUACACCUACUUACCAAUGGCUUCUUUUUUUCAAGGAUGAAUGGAGUGAAUUGUAUUUUACCCAGCAUUCGGAAACAAGAUCCUGGAGCCAUUGUAUGGUUAGUACUCAAGAGAUGGCUUUCACCACGAGGUCCAUAUUCAUUCUCUUCCAAGAAUAUAACAGCUUCUUCAGACAAAGCCCCCAGCCUGGUCAUCACCGAUGCUUAAGGAAAGCCAGGCUGCUGGAUGGUGUCAGGCAGUUCCCAUCAGGGCCCCACCUGGCCUCUCAGAAGGGACACAAAUGGCUCUGCUGGACUCUCCAGGUGUCUUUGCCCGUGGACGCUCCCUGAGGGCUAGAGCUCUGGUCCUGAACCCCCUCGCUGAAUGGCCCUCAACAGCGCGCCAGCGUUAAGUGGGAGAAAGAGAGGACGAAGGGAAGACCGGGGAGACCAGAGGAGCUGGCGAAGCCAGAAGUUUUCUGCUGAAAACGCAGCAAUGCACCC